rnacentral:rRNA from 1 species
AUUGAACGCUGGCGGCAGGCUUAACACAUGCAAGUCGAGCGGGGUGAUGGUGCUUGCACUAUCACCUAGCGGCGGACGGGUGAGUAAUGCUUAGGAAUCUGCCUAUUAGUGGGGGACAACAUCUCGAAAGGGAUGCUAAUACCGCAUACGUCCUACGGGAGAAAGCAGGGGAUCACUUGUGACCUUGCGCUAAUAGAUGAGCCUAAGUCGGAUUAGCUAGUUGGUGGGGUAAAGGCCUACCAAGGCGACGAUCUGUAGCGGGUCUGAGAGGAUGAUCCGCCACACUGGGACUGAGACACGGCCCAGACUCCUACGGGAGGCAGCAGUGGGGAAUAUUGGACAAUGGGGGGAACCCUGAUCCAGCCAUGCCGCGUGUGUGAAGAUGGCCUUAUGGUUGUAAAGCACUUUAAGCGAGGAGGAGGCUCUUUUGGUUAAUACCCAAGAUGAGUGGACGUUACUCGCAGAAUAAGCACCGGCUAACUCUGUGCCAGCCGCCGCAGUAA